CAGAAGGAGAGGGCAGGGGAGCCUGGACUCUGGGGAUGGAGGGCAAGGCUUCUGGCUCCAGAAGCUUGCCCUGGGCAAGCAGAAGGCGAGCAGGUACCAGAGAAAGCUUCACAAAGAAGUGACACUGGAGAUCUUGAAAGAUGGAGAGAGCACAAGGACAGCAAGGACUGAGGCAUGAAGGGGAAAGAGAGAAAGAGAAAGAAAGAGAGGUACUUGUUUCAGCAGUUCACUGCCCAGCAGGACCAAAUUAAGGGCGUAGGCAGAAAUGGAGAGAGCAGCCUUUCUGU